GAUGAACGCUGGCGGCGUGCCUAAUACAUGCAAGUCGAGCGAACAGACGAGGAGCUUGCUCCUCUGACGUUAGCGGCGGACGGGUGAGAAACACGUGGAUAACCUACCUAUAAGACUGGGAAAACUUCGGGAAACCGGAGAUAAUACCGGAUAAUAUAUUGAACCGCAUGGUUCAAUAGUGAAAGACGGUUUUGCUGUCACUUAUAGAUGGAUCUGCGCCGCAUUAGCUAGUUGGUAAGGUAACGGCUUACCAAGGCAACGAUGCGUAGCCGAGCUGAGAGAGUGAUCGCCCACCCGGGAACUGGGACGCGGUCCAGACGCCUAAGGUAGGCAGCAGUAGGGAAUCUGCCGCAGUAGGCGAAAGCCUGACGGAGCAACGCCGCGUGAGUUAUGAAGGUCUUCGGAUCGUAAAGCUCUGUUAUUAGGGAAGAACAAAUGUGUAAGUAACUAUGCACGUCUUGACGGUACCUGGUCAGAAAGCCACGGCUAACUACGUG
rnacentral:rRNA from 1 species